rnacentral:rRNA from 1 species
GAUCAUGGCUCAGGAUGAACGCUGGCGGCGUGCCUAACACAUGCAAGUCGAACGAAGCAAUUUAACGGAAGUUUUCGGACGGAAGUUGAAUUGACUGAGUGGCGGACGGGUGAGUAACGCGUGGGUAACCUGCCUUGUACUGGGGGACAACAGUUAGAAAUGACUGCUAAUACCGCAUAAGCGCACAGUAUCGCAUGAUACAGUGUGGAAAACUCCGGUGGUACAAGAUGGACCCGCGU